GACGUAGGGGGCGAGCGUUGUCCGGAUUUAUUGGGCGUAAAGAGCUCGUAGGCGGCUCAGAAAGUCGGGUGUGAAACCUCCAGGCUCAACCUGGAGACGCCACCUGAUACUGCUGUGGCUAGAGUCCGGUAGGGGAACACGGAAUUCCCGGUGUAGCGGUGAAAUGCUUAGAUAUCGGGAGGAACACCAGUGGCGAAGGCGGCGAUCUGGGCAGAUACUGACGCUGAGGUGCGAAAGCGUGGGGAGCAAACAGG
rnacentral:rRNA from 1 species